UUGAGGUCAGGAGUUUUGACUCAGAUGUGUGUGUUUGUCGUCAGGUGCCGCCGUCGCCCACUCUCCCUCCCCAGCAAGAAGCCUGGCACACGGGUUCUGCUCCUGCGGGUGACCUGUUUUUGAAUGCGAGUGUUUGGUCCAGCAGUUCAUGGAGCGAGAAUGGAGGACGUGGAAGAGGACACACCUCGAGGAGACAUAGAAAGGGGCGCGGUACUUGCCAGCAUAACGUGUGUGAGGAAGAAGGUGUUGAGGGCGAGCACGAGCAGCACGGGCGCGCGAUGCAGCCAAUCCAGGGUCGACUCCUGCACCCACGGACAUGUCAGAUGCCACACCUUCCACCUUCCACCGCCGGCAUCUUCCUGAAAACCAGUAAGUUAUUGUGAAUACAUACAAGUGGAGGUGGAGUAGGAUCACACAGCAGUUUGUGGUGCAUGGAGACAAUAAUCUGGUAUCAGGUCUCGCUGGUUCGUCUCCUCGUCUUAUGCUGUAUUAUCUCGUCUUA